rnacentral:rRNA from 1 species
UAACACAUGCAGUCGAGCGGUAGAGAGAAGCUUGCUUCCUCCUUGAGAGCGGCGGACGGGUGAGUAAUGCCUAGGAAUCUGCCUGGUAGUGGGGGAUAACGUUCGGAAACGGACGCUAAUACCGCAUACGUCCUACGGGAGAAAGCAGGGGACCUUCGGGCCUUGCGCUAUCAGAUGAGCCUAGGUCGGAUUAGCUAGUUGGUGGGGUAAUGGCUCACCAAGGCGACGAUCCGUAACUGGUCUGAGAGGAUGAUCAGUCACACUGGAACUGAGACACGGUCCAGACUCCUACGGGAGGCAGCAGUGGGGAAUAUUGGACAAUGGGCGAAAGCCUGAUCCAGCCAUGCCGCGUGUGUGAAGAAGGUCUUCGGAUUGUAAAGCACUUUAAGUUGGGAGGAAGGGCAGUUGCCUAAUACGUAACUGUUUUGACGUUACCGACAGAAUAAGCACCGGCUAACUCUGUGCCAGCAGCCGCGGUAAUACAGAGGGUGCAAGCGUUAAUCGGAAUUACUGGGCGUAAAGCGCGCGUAGGUGGUUUGUUAAGUUGGAUGUGAAAUCCCCGGGCUCAACCUGGGAACUGCAUUCAAAACUGACUGACUAGAGUAUGGUAGAGGGUGGUGGAAUUUCCUGUGUAGCGGUGAAAUGCGUAGAUAUAGGAAGGAACACCAGUGGCGAAGGCGACCACCUGGACUGAUACUGACACUGAGGUGCGAAAGCGUGGGGAGCAAACAGGAUUAGAUACCCUGGUAGUCCACGCCGUAAACGAUGUCAACUAGCCGUUGGGAGCCUUGAGCUCUUAGUGGCGCAGCUAACGCAUUAAGUUGACCGCCUGGGGAGUACGGCCGCAAGGUUAAAACUCAAUGAAUUGACGGGGGCCCGCACAAGCGGUGGAGCAUGUGGUUUAUUCGAAGCACGCGAAGAUCUUACCAGGUCU